CUAUAUAGGCAGCUUGACCAGUAUAUUGUAAAAGAAGACAUGGGAACACAACCUCGUGAAAGCAAUUUGCGUUUCGAAAUGAUAAACGAUGUUAGCAAGCACCAACAAGCAAAUAGACUGAUGUAUGUACUCAUGUGAAAGUUACAUUAUAGAAAUGUAAAUCUACUACGUGCACGAAUAUAAUAAUGAAUGCAUUCCUACUAAAAUGAAGAUUAAAAUAUGCAUAGUGAAGGACUAUCACAACCAACAAAUGGUACCUGAAUAGCUUGCACAGGAA
rnacentral:lncRNA from 1 species